AUUGAACGCUGGCGGCAUGCUUUACACAUGCCAGUCGAACGGUAACAGGCCGCAAGGUGCUGACGAGUGGCGCACGGGUGCGUAAUGCAUCGGAACGUGCCCAGUCGUGGGGGAUAACUACUCGAAAGAGUAGCUAAUACCGCAUACGAUCUAUGGAUGAAAGCGGGGGACCGUAAGGCCUCGCGCGAUUGGAGCGGCCGAUGUCAGAUUAGGUAGUUGGUGGGGUAAAGGCUCACCAAGCCAACGAUCUGUAGCUGGUCUGAGAGGACGACCAGCCACACUGGGACUGAGACACGGCCCAGACUCCUACGGGAGGCAGCAGUGGGGAAUGUUGGACAAUGGGCGCAAGCCUGAUCCAGCAAUGCCGCGUGCAGGAAGAAGGCCUUCGGGUUGUAAACUGCUUUUGUACGGAACGAAACGGCUCUGGUUAAUACCCGGGGCUAAUGACGGUACCGUAAGAAUAAGCACCGGCUAACUACGUG
rnacentral:rRNA from 1 species